rnacentral:rRNA from 1 species
GGGUGCGUAACGCGUAUGCAUCUACCUUUUACUAUGGGNNAGCCCAGAGAAUUUGGAUUAAUACCAUAUAGUAUAUUUGAAUGGCAUCGUUUGAAUAUUAAAGAUUUAUCGGUAAAAGAUGAGCAUGCGUCCCAUUAGUUAGUUGGUGUGGCAACGGCNUACCAAGACGAUGAUGGGUAGGGGUCCUGAGAGGGAGAUCCCCCACACUGGUACUGAGACACGGACCAGAUUCCUACGGGAGGCAGCAGUGAGGAAUAUUGGUCAAUGGAGGCAACUCUGAACCAGCCAUGCCGCGUGCAGGAUGACGGUCCUAUGGAUUGUAAACUGCUUUUGUACGGGAAGAAAACAAACUACGAGUAGUUAAUUGACGGUACCGUAAGAAUAAGGAUCGGCUAACUCCGUGUCAGCAGCCGCGGUAAUACCGGAGGAUCCAAGCGUUAUCCGGAAUCAUUGGGUUUNAAGGGUCCGUANGCGGCCUUAUAAGUCAGUGGUGAAAGUUUUUGGCUUAACCAAAAAUUGCCAUUGAUACUGUANGGCUUGAAUA